rnacentral:lncRNA from 1 species
UAAAAAAAAGAAAAAAAUGUUAUUAUGAUAUAUGUAUUCAACCCUAUUAAGAUUUCAGCUAAAUUUAUACCCAUUUAAAUUUUAGAUAAAAAAACAAACACUAUCUAAGUCUCAUAAAAUUUAAGUUUAUCCAAUAUUAUUAUGUUGAUCUAACAUAUAUUCUUAGUUUAUCUUUAGUUGAUGAGUCAUAAAAGAUUAUUUUGUUGACAGUCAGUAACACUGACACCGUGACACGAGAAAGUGAUAAGCUGAAUGGAGGUAGGAUGACAUUCUCUAGAGCAAAAUUGUAAUCAUCGAUUGUGAUACGCAAUAAGUAAUUAUUAAAGAUUUAGAGGCCUAGUCAUGUAGAUCCUAAAGGAAACCUAUCAAAAUUAUACGUAUUUUUUACUUUUUAAUUUUAAAUGAUGGGAAAUAAGUUGGGCUAGUCAUUAAAGUCAGGCCCAAACAAAAGUUAGUGUCUCACCGCUUCUCUUGAAAGCGCAUAGCAAUCGGGGCUAUUGAGACCAACUUUUUAUCUCAUUACAUGUACAUCAAUUUUAUAUUAACCUUUAUGUGUAUGUGUGUCUAUGUAUAUAUAUGGUCCAUGCUACAUUCCGUUAAUAUAUCGUCUUUACCUACGUUGUCAAACUAGCACAUUCACCGUAUACUAAUACUAUACAUAAUGUAAUCCCAACGAAAGAAGUAUUUUUUUAGAGUUGUGAUAUUUGACUCUCUGAUUAUAUCUCACCAUCCCCACUAAUCACUUUUGUAUUAAUAUUUAUUUUAUCAAAUGACUUAAAAGGGUAAGGAGCUUUUUAAGUGCACCCACAUGAUAAUUUUUAUUAAUACUUAAUUUAACUAAUUUAUAGUUCUAUUUUAUAUAUAUAUAUAUAUAUAUACACACACACACACACAACAGGACAUGUUGCAUUAGGGGCUAUUUGUCUGCAUUCUCUCGUUUUGUUAAGCCUUAACUUUUGAUAGGUUCGUUUCUUUUACCAAAAAAGAAAGAAAGUGACUCUACUGCUGCACUGUCUUUUCUUCAUAAUCCUAGUUUUGCUACUUUAUGUUGCAUUCAUAAUAGAUGAAUUAACUAUUGUAUUUUGAUUAAAACAUAGUUGUUAGUUGCUCCAUGCUCUCAUGUCUUCCAAGAAGGAAAUUAUGUGGUAAAUUAAUUGGCUAAUUUGGGAUUUUCUUAUUUUAUAUUUACUUAGUGGGAUUGUCCAUCAAUGAGGCAAUGACUAUUCGUAAAAAAAUAUUAAGGAUGCUUGGGCUAUUUCAAGUAUCAUUUUAUAACUUAACCUCUUAUACAUGAGACAUUUUGUAACUCUUCUCUUUUCAAUUUAAUUUAUUUUAAGAUUUACAUAAAA